AACGCAGGCUAAUCAGGGCACCUGGGUUUAAAAAGGAGCUCACUCCAGUCAGGGGAAUGGGAGCCAGAGCAAGAAAGAAGUGCGUGUGAGGAGCUGGGAGCAAGAGGCAACAAGGAACUGAG